rnacentral:rRNA from 1 species
UACAGAGGUCUCAAGCGUUGUUCGGAUUCAUUGGGCGUAAAGGGUGCGUAGGCGGCGCGGUAAGUCGGGUGUGAAAUCUUGGAGCUUAACUCCGAAACUGCACUUCGAUACUGCCGUGCUUGAGGACUGGAGAGGAGACUGGAAUUUACGGUGUAGCGGUGAAAUGCGUAGAUAUCGUAAGGAAGACCAGUGGCGAAGGCGGGUCUCUGGACAGUUCCUGACGCUGAGGCACGAAGGCCAGGGGAGCAAACGGG